rnacentral:snRNA from 1 species
GGAUGUGAGGGUGAUAUGGCUGCGACAUCUGUCACCCCAUUGAUUGCCAGGGUUGAUUCGGCUGAUCUGGCUGGCUAAGCAGGUGUCCCCUUCCUCCCUCACUGCUCCACAUGUGUCCCUCCCGAAACUGUGCACUCGGUCAAAGAGGACAGCCUUCCCCGAAGGUCUUCAGUCGAGGGUAUAUGAGCAGCUGUGCUCCCCUGCUAGAACCUCCAAACAAGAUCGCAAGAGAGUCAACAUUUCAAAGACUCAGCCUAUGGUCUGUGCAUUAAAA